rnacentral:rRNA from 1 species
GAUGAACGCUAGCGGCAGGCCUAAUACAUGCAAGUCGGACGGGAUUUGGGAGCUUGCUCCUAAUGAGAGUGGCGCACGGGUGCGUAACACGUAUGUAACCUACCUUAAUCAGGGGGAUAGCCUCUCGAAAGAGAGAUUAACACCGCAUAAUAUAUUUUUAUGGCAUCGUAGAAAUAUCAAAUAUUUAUAGGAUUAAGAUGGGCAUGCGGAACAUUAGCUAGUUGGUAAGGUAACGGCUUACCAAGGCUACGAUGUUUAGGGGAUCUGAGAGGAUGCCCCCCACACUGGUACUGAGACACGGAACAGACUCGUACGGGAGGCAGCAGUAAGGAAUAUUGAUCAAUGGGCGCAAGCCUGAACCAGCCAUGCCGCGUGCAGGAAGACGGCCCUAUGGGUUGUAAACUGCUUUUGUACCGGAAUAAACCCUUUUACGUGUAAGAGGCUGAAUGUACGGUAAGAAUAAGGAUCGGCUAACUCCGUGCCAGCAGCCGCCGUAA